AUUAAUGAAAAUAAAGGCUUUGGAAGAAGACCAAGGUUCUAACGAUAAGCGCCGUAUAAGGACACGAAAGGUCAGCGAAGUUAUGUAUCAGGCAACUGGUAAAAAAGCUGAAUUGCGCAAAGGAAACUAAGUGCUAGUCCCGUGGACAGGAUUAGACCAUAAACUAAUGAGGAACGAAACAACGGAGUAUCAUUAGAGACAGAAAUCAACCGAGAUCCCGAGAGUAGUGGCGAACGAAAUCGGAUUAUCCCACGUUUAAUGGAUAGGUUCUGAGGAAUCCAUAGAGGGUACAUAGUCAAGACCCGGAAUUCAGAUCCCUUUUCCAGUCAAUCAAAUGAUUGAUGACGUAUGAUGAGUAGGUAGCGUGAUGAGCGUUACUGAAGAGGAGGACCUCCUUCAAAGGAUAAGAGUAGUUAGAGACCGAUAGUGAACCAAGUAGCGUGAGCGAAAGGAUGAAAGAGAACCCAAUCGGGGAUUGAAAUAGAACUGAAAUUCAAAGCUUAAGAGCAGUAGGAGUUCAAUUAGGAUGACUACGUACCUUUUGCAUAAUGGGUCUACGAGUAUAUAGUGUUAGCGAGGUUAAGUCAUGAGAUGGAGCCGAAGCGAAAGCGAUUAAGAGUUAGCAUUAUAUGACCCGAAACGGAAUGAUCUAAGCGUGUUCAAGUGGAUACGAGAGUAAAAUCGAGUUGAAGGCUGAACCAGUUUACGUGGCAAUGUAAUUGGAUGAAAUGCGCUUAGGGGUGAAAGGCUAAUCAAAUUCCGUAAUAGCUGGUUUUCCGCGAAACAUAUUGAAGUAUGACGGUUCAGUAAUAUUCACCAUGAAAGGUAAAGCACUGCAAGGAUCCGAAAGGCGUUCUGUAACGGAAUGUAGGGUGGAGUGAAAUCCAUACCUAAUCUAAGCAAACUCAGAAUUAGCAUGGUGGAGAGAACUAGUCGGACUGUAAGCGAUAAGGUUUAUAGUCAAGAGGGAAAGAGCCCUGAUCAAAAGCUAAGGUCUUUAAGUGGAAUUAAGUGUGAAAGGAAGUUUCAAUGCGGAGAUAACAAGAAAGUAGGCUUGGAAACAGCCAUCUUUGAAAGAAAACGUAACAGUUCAUUGAAUAAGCGUUGAAGCACCGAAGAUUUAGGAGGCUAAAUUCCAGCACCGAAGCUUUGAACUUAGAGAUUGUAUGCUCUAAGUGGUAGCGGAAGAAUCUGAAUUUAUUGAAUCGAUCUGCAAAGAUCAUAGUCGAUUCGUUGACACUUUGGAAUUCAGAUGACAAAAUGUAGACAUGAGUAAACAAAAGUCAGUGGAUUGGAAGUCUGGUACGUUGAGAUCAGAUGAAAGAUCUGUGACACUGACUCGCCGAAAGUCCUAGGUUUUCUGCGUCCAGAUAGACUGCGCAGAGUGCAACAGCUCCUAAGAGAAAAGCGAAAGCUGUACUCGAUGGAUAAACUAGAAUGACAAGAGAAUCGCAGCGGCAUUUAGGGUAUCACUACUCUAGUGACAAUGGGUUCGUAUUCAGGAAACAAUUCUAGUAUGAAGACUGUACUUAAUCUGACACCAGUGGACAGACGUUAAUGCGUCAAGGCGUGGAUGGAAUGUUCUCACAGGAACUCGGCAAAUUUGUACCGUAACUUCGGGAUAAGGUAUGUACUGCUUGAGAAAGUAGUAUCGCAGAGAAUGGCAGAGUGCGACUGUUUAUCAAAAACACAGUGUACUGCAAACUCGUAAGAGGAAGUAUAGUACAUGACGUGUCCUCAAUGCUAGUACCUGAAGUCAGCUUAUUUAACGGUAGGUUGUAUAAGGGCUAGUGAUAGGCGUCCUACUCCUGAGGAUGCGAAGGUAGCGAAAUUCCUUGUCUUGUAAUUGAAGACCUGCAUGAUGACGUAACGAUGCUUUGACUGUCUUUGAGAACAAAUCCAUGAAAUUGAAUUAACCGUGCAGAUGCGGUUUAUGGCUAGGUAGACGAGAAGACCCUAUACACCUUUACUAUAGGCAUGUAACAUAUUAAAGAAGAUCUGAGUGUAGAAUAGACGGGAAUGGCGGAGAAAAGCCACAGUGAAAUACCGUCCUCUGAUUAUGAGUCUUUCUUUAACCUUGAUAUUGCAUGCCAGUUAGUUUUCUUGGGGCGAGACCCUUUUAAAGUGUAACAAAGGGAUAGAAAGUCAAACUACUACUCUUCUCUUGGAGGGUAGCGUCGUGUAAGAGCAUAAGUUUGAUUGACUGUGAGACCUACAAGUCGAGCAGGUGUGAAAGCAGCUUCUAGUGACCCGCUUAUGUUUCGAGGAGAAGUAAGCGAUCAAUGAAUAAAAGGUACGUUAGGGAUAACAGGCUGAUCUGAGCUAAGAGUCCAUAUCGCAGCUUAGGUUUGGCACCUCGAUGUCGGCUAAUCUCAUCCUUCUGGUGCAGAAGCUAGAAAGGGUUCUACUGUUCGUAGAUUAAAGAGGUACUUGAGCUGGGUUCAGUACGUCGUGAGACAGUACGGUUUCUAUCUUCUAGCCACUUCUUGAUAUCUAUUCCCAAAGAUUUCUUUGUACGAAAGGAUCAGAAAUCUGCAGCCUAUGGUGUAUCAAUUAUGGAUGACAUCCGUACAGUUGAGUAGCCACGCUGUAAUAGAGUAGAUCUGAAAUCAUCUCAAGAUCGAAACUAUGGGAUUGGAGAUAUCUAAUAGCGUUCUGUUGACGAGGCUACAGGUGUUAGACUUUUAACGGUUUUAGCUUAGUAGUACUUACGCUAUGCUUUCAAUAAUUU
rnacentral:rRNA from 1 species